AUCUCUACGUGCCCAGAGCUUCAAAUACAGCCCUCCCAGUCAGACUACCACAAAACUUCAAUCAGCUGCUUUUCCGCCUGGAAGAGAUGGACAUAGAACCUGGAUGGGUAAUUACAAACAUAAUCUAUACGUGUGUUUCUCCCCCAAUUGUGGGUUCCAAGAUGCUUUUUGGGGAGAGGGGUUGUUUUAUUCUGUUGGCUGGAUAGACGCCUCUCUUUCCUCAACCCCUUCUUGAGCUUUGUGUCUUUCUGGCUAACAGGGGUGGACAUAGCUCUAUGUGUGACUCUCUAGUUUUCUGUGAAAUUCUACAUCUUGCUUCCACAAGUAGACAUUUUGGAAAGAUUAUUCAUGUGAAAGCAUGAGGGGAGAGUGGUUGGUGACUGGGGCUAGGGCCAUGAUACUCUUCUACUCAUCUCAAGGAUAAAAAUGUUUUCAGGAGAAGUGGGUGAGUGUGGAUCUUUCCAAGUUCCCCCUUGUCAUUCAUAAAUGAGAUUGAAGAGAUCUUUUUUUAAAGCGUCUCUGCUAUGAACAUGGAAAGACAGGAGCCUCCUCUUGCUCAGCAGAGCUGUGAGCCUGGGUUGAUUCCUGUGUCACCUCCUCAGACUGCGUAUGCAACUUUUCCUUAACGUGAGCCUGGAAACUGAAGCAUUUCGGCAAUGCUCACAGCUAUGGGUGACAUGUUUUCUCUGACCAGUUUUGUGACUAAGUAAAAGGAGACCAUCCGAGGCAGGCUCCAGGCUAUGUCUUGCCUUUGGGGGAGGGGCUAGAGAAAGCUGUUAGUCGAAGGGGUCAGUUGAAGGGUGUCGAGAGAUGCUUUGAUUUCAUAAUUUGCUAAUUGAACCCCCCCAUUUUGCCUUGAGAUGAUUUGCUCAAUAAUUUAUCAGUGAUCCAGAAAUUAGGGGUGUACACAGAAGAGGGCUGAGGUAGAAAUAGUUUCUUGGGGGUGUGAAACCCACUGCCUAACCUCAUCCUUUCACUUUCGAAGUCACAGGUAGAAACUGUCUUUUUCACUACCCUGCCUACAACUUCCUUUUUCUCCCAGUCUCUGCUCCCUCUUUGGACCAGAAGGACCCUUCUGAGGAUGGAUAGCUGUAUUUCUGGGUGAGGGAGAGGGUCCUGGCAUCUGGAGAUUGCAACUCAGAGUUCUGUGAGCUGUGCUAAGGAAUAUUAGUGGAAGCUGGAGCUGGCUUGCAGGGGAGGGGUCUCAGGCCUUCCUUGGUUUCCUGUCCUAGGAGGGCAGGAGUAGCAGUGGGAAAGAGAGAGGGGAUGGUCUGUUCAUCCCGGGGCAGUUCAAUAGUGGCUUGGGUGGAUGUUUUUCCUGGGCUCCUAUCCUUAUGCUUUUUUGGUAGUGAGUCUAACCUUUAAUGGUUGAGCCAUCCUCCAGCCCCACUGGACUGCUAUCCUUAAGGAAGCUGUGAGACACAGGUGUCAGUGAGGGGGUCUCUUGAGGAGGGCAGUUGUGGAGAAAUGCAUGGGUGUCCUUCUGGGUGUCUGAGAGGUUUCCCAUCAUCGGUACCUGUCACCUUGACUGCCUUUGACCUGCCUAUGGAUAGUGGUGGCAAAACACUUCUUCUCAUCCCUUCCCCUCUUCCCAAUCAACUCCUGAGCUUUCUGCUCAGAAGGCACCCACAGCAGAAGCUCUGAAGCCUCUGGUUGUCCACAGGCUCUGCUUACCUCAGGACUGAUGAGGGUGGUUGUAACAUUCUCAGCAUUUGACUCAUCUUCUGGUCAGCUCAUCACCAGGAAAACAACAGGGGUAAGGGGAGAGGGAAGUGGUUCCCACGGCCAGCAUGGAGGCAGCCGAGGCUGCUGCACGAAGAACAGGCCUGGGGAGACAGCUUCACUCGAGACUUGGGCAGUUGCCAUAUCCUGCCCAAGUUGGCUUCCUGAAGACUCAGUUUCAGUGUCUGGGAAAUGGGUCUGUAAGCACCUGUCCACUCCUUUCAGAAGCUUCCCAGAUACUUCCUGCUUUUUGCUGCUUGCCGCACUGCUAUGACUUUGGUUACCACACUGAUCACACUUAAUUGGGCUGUGACCCCCCUCAUUGCCUCCUAAGUCCUUGAGGUCAAGAGCUGAGUCGUGGUCACAGUUAAGACUUUGGAAUCUAAGGAAGUUCUAGAUCCAUAGUAGACUCUUGGUAAAUGUAGCCCAAGCAGCUACAGUGUGAACUUCAUAUGGCAGAGGUGAGGUGAAGAGCGUGGCACGUGGCAAGGGGGAUGCCUCUCAUUUCUUUAUCCCAUUUUACAUCCAAAGCGCUCUGUCUUCAUCCUCUGCACACUUCUUGUCUCAUAGCCCCCCUUUCCAGGAAAGGCCACCUGGGAGAGCUGGCCUUGCUCAGGCCCUAUUUGCUGCUUGGGACACACCAGGCACCUGUGCUUAGUGGCCGCUGAAUGGAUGUCUAGGGAGCAGCUUUGUGUGACUGCAGUUUGUUACUUGGGAAGGGCUUAGAGGAAAUUAGCUGAAAUGCCACAGGCCUAUUUUGAGCUACCUCUUUGAUGGAGUGGAAAUAACAUGGGAUUUGGGCGCAGCAGACCUGGCCUUGAAGUGCAGGGCUGCCGUUUCCUCGUUGUUUGACCUUGGACAGUUACUUAACCUCUCUGGAAACUUGUAUUUUCAUUUAUCAAGAACUGGGGGUACGAGCCUUAUGCUGUGGUCACCAGAGUUAUAUGUUAACAGCUAUGACACAGGCUGACAUUUAUUGGGUGCUGACCCACGCUGAAUCCCACAACCCUCUUAUGAAGAGGUAUCACCUUCCAUGCAUUUACAGAUGAGGAAACAGAGCUACCCAAGGAUGCAAGUAUAUGGCAUCAUUUUUCAGACUUAGGGCAUGACAGACCCUGAAGCCCAGUCCAGUUCUGAGCAUCCUGAGGAAGAGCCUUGCAUCAGGACGAUCUGCUUCUCAGCCACAGUUUACAGAGAAACUUCUGGGUGCUAGGUGAGUUCAAAUUGAUACCACACUCAGAUCAAGUAAUUCUCAACUAUGUGCUAAGAACCUUUCCUUUAGGUGAGCAAAGGCCCAGAGAGGUCACAUCCCAAACCCAAGGUCAUAUGCCAAGUAAGUGGGUCAGCAGAGACGUGAACACUUUGAAGUUAUUCAACAGCCACUAACAAGUCCAAAGCUGUUUCAUUCAGGUUUUUUUCUUAAUCCAAACUCAAGCAUCUACUGAGUGUCAGGUACUGUGCCGACUCCUGGUGAGUGGGGCAGUCUCUGUAAAGGUGAAGGUAAGGAGUCAGCCAUGGCAGCACACACUUGUGAUCCCAGCACUCGGGAGGCAGAGGCAGGAGGAUCACUGUGAUAUUGAAGCCAGCUAGAGUUAGAUAGUGAACACACACACACACACACACACACACACACACACACACACACACAGAGAGAGAGAGAGAGAGAGAGAGAGAGAGAGAGAGAGAGAGAGAGAGAGAGAGAGAGAGAGAGAGAGAGAGAGUCAUUUUCUGUGGGGACACGGAGCAGAAAACAGAAGAGGUAGUUUGGGAGUGGGUGGGGAACUGAGAAGACAGAGCAUCCCAGGCUGGAGAAACGGCCUGUGAAGGUUUAGGUGUGUGAGAAGAGACGACUGGACAGUUACAAGGAAACAGAACAACAACAAAGUCUGGCUGUUGCUGCCACAAUGGUGGGAAGUGCCCAGCAGUCUUGGAGAAGAGGCCAGAGCGGAAGAAAUAACUUGGAGGGGAGGCAUCAACCAAGCCUGGGGCAAGGGACAGCCAGGUUGAUGUGGUUGGUCCCCAUGCCAGUGAUGAGGCAGCCUGGGUCAGCAUAGUGGAAGUCCGGAUGGGAGGUGUGGUGGUCAAGAGCACUUGGAGAGAGCCAGGUGAGCACAGGGACCCACACUGAGGUGGGCAAGUGUGAGGAAGGAGCAGGUAUGCAUUUGGGCGUGGGGAGUGGGAAGCUGAGACCUCCACCUCUCUCAUGGAGCUGGUUGCCAUGUUCUGAGACCUCUCCACUCCAUGCUCUCAUUCUCUCUCUUCUCUGCAUGCUAAUUAAUUAAUUAGGGAUGCAAAUCAUUCAUUUGAUUCCAUUCUGUUCCCAGCAGAAUGAAAAUCUCACGAAGGCAAGAGAUUUUAUUCACUGUGUUCAUGCUAUAUUCCCAACCCAUAGAACACAGCCCAGCACACAGUAGGUAGAUACUAAAAAGGAAUUCUUUUUUUUUUUUUUUGGUUUUUCGAGACAGGGUUUCUCUGUGUAGCUUUGCGCCUUUCCUGGAACUCACUUGGUAGUCCAGGCUGGCCUCGAACUCACAGAGAUCCGCCUGGCUCUGCCUCCCGAGUGCUGGGAUUAAAGGCGUGCGCCACCACGUGUAAAAAAUCCACAUGUGUGUUGCCUCUGGGCUAGACAAUAUACUGAGGGGUUUGGGACGCUGCUGAGAUAAAAAAUAAUCAAAUCAAAGAGCUUGACAAGUGGCCUGGGAAUCCAGGACAGCCCGGUCCACUUGGAACAGUCAUGGGCGUCUGACAUCCCAUGCUGUGUUUUCCUACUCAGUGCACACUCUUGUGACACUUAAUUUUGCAUUUGGAACUUUUGACUGAGGUCCAAGGUUGUCUGGCACAUACUAGGCCUGCAACAUGGGUUUGAUGAGUGAAUGAACAAAAGACACGCGAGCCCAGGGCAGCAAGCAUUUAGUUCUGUCCUAAAGGGGCUCAGAAGGCAUUUGGUGAUCAGAAGACCCAUAAAGGCCAGAAGAAAAGGUCAUGGUUAAGAGAUGGGGGGGGGGACUCCAAGCAAGGCAACAUGACCAGCUAUCGCAGAGGACAAACCAGUGGAAAGUGAGGUGCCCUUGGCUAUAGGUACCCGUCAGCCUGAUUGUUCUUGCUCAGGAGGAAGCUGGGAGGUGGGCAGAAGAGGUUGUGGAGCCAGCUGCAUUUGGCUUGGAAUCCAGCUCUGCUACCUAUUGGCUAUGUGGCCCCAUGCAGGGAAUUAACCUUUCUGGGCUCGGCCUCAUCUGUAAGGAUGGGAAUGGUGCCUGCUCCACCCCUUUGUUCUUGCCAUUUCUUCCCAAAAGUACAGUUCAGGUCUUGGCAUUGCUCACUCUCACCUCCAGGAAGGCGUAGCCACUCACAUAUGUAAGCGGCCACGGAUAAAGAGGCCUGUUUUGUCUACACUGUCGUGAUUUUUUUUUUCAGCCUGACACACUCUCACUAGUGAUCCGAAGUGUCUGCCACCUGCCUUUCUUCUCUGAAUGUCAAAUCCUGUCUCUUGUCCCUUGUGGAAGCCCCAGCACCUAGAAAUUGCCAGAGUGUGGGGUUGCUGGAUGACUACUUUCUGGAUGACCGAGGACUCGAGGCACCCAAGAUGAAAGGCAAAGAAAGAGCGAAAACAAAAGCUCAUGACUUAAGCUCCGCCACCUCCUCCCAGCGCUUCCUCCAGUCCUGAAAAGCCUGCUCCGGUCUGGCUUCUGAGUCAAGGUGCUGGCGUCUUCCUGCGGUUCCAUCCUCCAUGCAGCUGUGUCUCUCAGCUGGGGAUCCAGGAGACCAGAACCUUCCCCCGAGUCCAGGCUUCUGGAUUAUGUCCUUCUCACAGCAGUAGCCAGGGUCCUGGAUAUGCUUGAAUCAUGAGACACAGACGCCAUGGCUGCUCUGUUCUUCCUGACCCUUGAAGCUCUGAGCCCGACUGUUCUCGGCACCUUCAGUUGGGUAAUGGCGGUGUUUGCAGCUCUUUGCUGGGUAUUGUAGGCACCCCUGGUUGGUCCUGAGCUAGAAAGGCACCUGGGACUAUCCUCCACCUUUGGGUAUAGCGCUGAGCUCUGCUCACACCCCAGAGUUCAUUUAACCCUCGUGGUACUCAGGCCUCCAUUUCCUCUGGUGUGAGAUGGGAAUUCCCAAGACCUGGAGGUUGGAAGAGAUUAAGUGUAGCCAUUCCUUUCUCCAUGGACCCUUCUCUGGGCAAUCCCCUCCUCCUUUUUUAAAACAAGGACUACUGAGGACCAGAGAAGUCAAACAAUUUAUCUAAGGACACAGAGCAGAGCUGGGUACAAGAUGAGGGCCUUGCCUUUUAUAAGGAAUUAGAUUGUCUCUCCCACCCACCAGCCGUGCGUGGCACAGCAUCAGGGACCUCACACCCAGGGAGUCAGGAGAAAGGAGCCCCCACCCCCGGCAGCGGAACAGCAGUUGGUCCAUUUCUCCUGCCCAAUGCUUCCUCCUAAUCUUCUGUGAGCACCCCCCACACACACCCUCCCCCCACCACAAGGGCAACAGCAACUGCCACUACAGAGCUGAGCCCCAGACGACAGGCUUUCCCACACAAGGACCCUUGGGGGACACCACACAGAAACUGACCUAUAUUAAUUUCAAGUGCUAUUUGCAGUCUUGGUCCCUUCCCAGCACAUAACCCCACCCUGCACAAACUUGCAAACACGUUGAUCAGCCCAAGGACGUUGUAAAAAUAAAACGAUCUGAACCCGGCCCUCUGGGAGUCUCCGCCCUCCAGUGCUGCUGCUCUGAGGCGAGGGGACAGCGAUCACAGCCCAGUUCGAGGAAGGGAUGCCAUCCUCCUGGGAGGGGAUGAGAAGGAGACAGCAGCUAAAACCAGUGCAGGGAACUGAUGGAUGUGAUGAGCUAGGGGCCAAGGAGAGGGCAACAGGGGAGGGGAGAAAUUAAUAAAGGCUCCCUGGGGGCAGGUCACCAGGGAGGGGACAAAAUGCUAGAAAGAACAGUUGCAGCCUUACGGAGAAUGAAGGCAGAGAAGGGAAAAUCCUGGAAGAAUAUGCUGGAAAAGGAGGCAGGGACAUGGGAGGAGGUCACAGAUAACCCAUGAGAGUAGAUGGAAGGACCCAUAGUUAAUAGGGUUAACUAUUAGGAUUUUGUUGAGGGGUGGUGUGGGGAAGAGUGUCCUGGAGAAGAGUUAGAUGGGGGAUACAGCACAGGACAGAAAGUGGAGGCCUGGCUCUAACGUGGCUUUUCAAAUCAACUGAAAGCCAGAAACUGACACUUGAGGCUGUCCGGCUGUCCUCUGACCUUCACGUGUGAGCUACCGCAUGUGUGUGUACAGAAACACACAAAGAAGCUUAGGACAUAGGUCUGCAUGGCGGGAGGUCAUGUGAAGAUGUGGAAAGAGGAUACCAUGGCAAACCAAGGAAAGAGAUUCAGAAGACAUGACCCUGAUCUCACAUUUACCUGAUGUCUGAACCCCGGGACGGUAAGGGAAGGAACCCCUGUUCUGAAGCCUGACAGGCUGUGGAGUUUCUCGUGGCCGCCCUCACACGCUGCCAUCAGCCCCUCAUGUGUAAUGCACUCAUCUCUUCCCCCAGGCCUGCCUUUAUCUUGUCAUCUAAGUCAGGUGCAGGCAUGGUCACGCCACUUGGGAGGAGUUCCUGGGUAGACAAGAGACAGCUCCAUUGUCUAACAGAAAGGGGCUUCAAUAUAUGCUUAGACAGUUCUCUGUCUCUUUGGAAACGUCUAGAAGGCACAGCCUGGAGUCGUGGUGAGAUCUUAACAAAAGGCUUCCCAGGCACACACCCUUGGUUAAACUGUCCUCCUGGUAGCGAUUCUGGCAUUGAGCUUUGCCCAGAAAUCACUUCUCAUUUUGAACUACUGUCAAGCAGAGUCUGGGACUGCGAGAUGUCCAAAGCCAGUUCAUUUGGUUUAUUUAUAGACACUGGUUUGCUCACUGGCCUCUCUUAUCGACAAAGCCAGGAUCUGAACUCAGGACGGUCACCUCAAAGCUUGUGCUCUGGCUGGGAGGCCCUGUUGCCCCUGCAUCAUAGAGUAAGUAGGAGUUUUGUGCAGUCCUGAGGGAAGGGUGGCGUUUAAACAGGGGAGACAGAACAUGCUAGGCACCGAGUGGACACUUGGCUGGAGGUCCAGAAAUGCAGGGGAAGGCAAGUGAUAGGAGCACCAGCCCACUGUUUUCCUACCCUUCCCCCUUUGCUGGUUACUCAGCAUUUAGUUCCCAGCUCCCAUUUGCUGGUGACCACUUUUGACAUCCCCUACGACAGAGCAAAUAUGACACUCUAUUCUCCCACCAGCUGGAGCACACAAUUCUGUCCUUCCUCAGAAUGCCCUUCCUCAUCUUGCCCACCAGCACAGUGAUGCAUUUGAAUGUGAAUGCUGCCUCCUCCGUGAAGCCUUCCUUAUCAGUUACUACCCCUGCUUGGGAGGGUCUGAACACAGAAUUUUAUCACUCAGAGCACAACUGAGGGGAAGCUGGCUAGGGUGAGGCUAGUGAAUAUCACUCAAAGAAGCUGUGUGGCCCCCAGGUUCCACCCACCCAUGGUUCUGCCAGCUUCUAGGAUGGAGGUUUGCAAUCUGUGAUUUUUUUUUUAAUAAAUAAAGUUUUAUUGAGACACAA